UACGAAGGGGGCUAGCGUUGCUCGGAAUCACUGGGCGUAAAGCGCACGUAGGCGGCUUUUUAAGUCAGAGGUGAAAUCCUGGAGCUCAACUCCAGAACUGCCUUUGAUACUGGAGAGCUUGAGUCCGGGAGAGGUGAGUGGAACUGCGAGUGUAGAGGUGAAAUUCGUAGAUAUUCGCAAGAACACCAGUGGCGAAGGCGGACUC
rnacentral:rRNA from 1 species